GACGAACGCUGGCGGCGUGCCUAAUACAUGCAAGUCGAGCGCAGGAAACUGACGGAACUCUUCGGAGGGAAGGCAGUGGAAUGAGCGGCGGACGGGUGAGUAACACGUAAGGAACCUGCCUCAAGGAUUGGGAUAACUCCGAGAAAUCGGAGCUAAUACCGGAUAGUUCAUCGGACCGCAUGGUCCGUUGAUGAAAGGCGCUCCGGCGUCACCUUGAGAUGGCCUUGCGGUGCAUUAGCUAGUUGGUGGGGUAACGGCCCACCAAGGCGACGAGGCAUAGCCGACCUGGGAGGGUGAUCGGCAACACUGGGACUGAGACACGGCCCAGACUCCUACGGGAGGCAGCAGUAGGGAAUCUUCCACAGUGGACGAAAGUCUGAUGGAGCAACGCCGCGUGAGUGAUGAAGGUUUUCGGAUCGUAAAACUCUGUUGUAAGGGAAGAACAUGUGCGAGAGGGAAUGCUCGUACCUUGACGGUACCUUACGAGAAAGCCACGGCUAACUACGUGCCAGCCGCCGCGGUAA
rnacentral:rRNA from 1 species